ACUCCUGCCGAUGGAUAUCUUGGCUCUCGCAACGAUGAAGAACGCAGCGAAAUGCGAUACGUAGUGCGAAUUGCAGAAUUCAGUGAAUCAUCGAACCUUUGAACGCAAAUGGCGCAUCCGGGCUCCGCUCGGACGCAUGUCUCUUCGAGGGGCGCCUCCAUCCUCCUCGGAGCGAGAGAGCUCUCUCUCUCGUCUCCGGAGCCGGCGGCCGCGCGGGGGAGCCUCGGCUCCCUCGCGCGCCCGCCCAAGGCUGCCUUGCGAGCGCGGCGGCGGCGUCUAACCCGCGUCCCCGCCGGAGUGCUAAGUCCACGACUAGACCUCCGGCGGACGCGUGCCCCGUUCUGCCUCGCGACCCCCCGGCGUGCGCGGUGCCUCUCCUCUCCUCCGGGAGAGAGCGAGGUCCGCCCGCCCCGGCGCGCGGCCGCUCUCUGUGCGGCCGCGCGCCUCGAAACCCGCCAUCGAAUGAGGCAAGACUACCCGCUGAACUUAAGCAUAUCACUAAGCGGAGGAGAAGAAACUAACCAGGAUGCCCCUAGUAAUGGCGAAUGAAGCGGGCUGAGCUCACGCUGCCAAUCUGGAGGCCUCGCGUAUGCAGCGCCCCCCGAAUUGUGGUCUAGAGAGGCGUUAUCGGCCGCGCCCGCCGCUCAAGUCCCUUGGAACAGGGUGUCGGAGAGGGUGAGAAUCCCGUACCGUGGCGGGUUGCGGCCUUACGAUGCGUCCUCGUCGAGUCGGGUUGCUUGGGAUUGCAGCUUGAAUUGGGUGGUAAAUUCCAUCUAAAGCUAAAUACUGGCGAGAGACCGAUAGCGAACAAGUACCGUGAGGGAAAGAUGCAAAGAACUUUGAAAAGAGAGUCAAAGAGUGCUUGAAAUCGGUAGGAGGAAACCCGGAUGGGCCCGGCUUCGGCGUGCCGACUCAGCCUGGGGUUCUCCCCAGGUGCACUUCUGCGCGCCGGGUCAGCCGCGCCUCGGCGCCGCGCCUCAACCCGGGAGCGGGGCUUUACGGCCAGCUCCCGUCCUGGCGCGGCCCGGGGCCCGGCUGACGGAACGGGCCCCUCCGACCCGUCUAGAAACACGGACCAAGGAGUCUGACACGUGUGCGAGUACCCGGGUGGCAAGCCCGCGUGCGGAAUGAAAGUGAAGGGCAUGCCCUGCCAACCGACCUUGACCUGCUGUGAGGGGUUUGAGUGGAGCACACCUGUCGGGACCCGAAAGAUGGUGAACUAUGCCUGGGUAGGGUGAAGCCAGAGGAAACUCUGGUGGAGGCUCGUAGCGAUACUGACGUGCAAAUCGUUCGUCGAAUCUGGGCAUAGGGGCGAAAGACUAAUCGAACCAUCUAGUAGCUGGUUCCCUCCGAAGUUUCCCUCAGGAUAGCUUGAACGCAACGGUUUUGUCAGGUAAAGCGAAUGAUUAGAGGCCUGUGGGCUGAAACAGCUUGCACCUAUUCUCAAACUUUAAAUGGGCAAGAGGCCCGGGAUGCUUGAGUGAUCCCGGGCGGCGAACGGCGCGUUCAAAGUGGGCCAUUUUUGGUAAGCAGAACUGGCGAUGCGGGAUGAACCGAACGCCGCGCUAAGGUACCCAAGUGUCCGCUCAUCAGAUACCACAAAAGGCGUUGGUACCUCCAGACAGCAGGACGGUGGCCAUGGAAGUCGGAACCCGCUAAGGAGUGUGUAACAACUCACCUGCCGAAGGUACUAGCCCUGAAAAUGGAUGGCGCUCAAGCGGACCACCGAUGCGCGGCCGCCGGCGCGAGCGCGAGGCGCCGGCGAGUAGGAGGGCGCGGGGCUCGCGGCGCAGCCUUGGGCGCGAGCCUGGGUGAAGCGGGCCCCGGUGCAGAUCUUGGUGGUAGUAGCAAAUAUUCAAAUGAGAACUUUGAAGACUGAAGUGGAGAAAGGUUCCGUGUGAACAGCAGUUGGACACGGGUGAGCCGACCCUAAGAGACAGGAAAACUCCGCCGAACGCGGCUGGUUCUGUCAGCCCGUCCGUCGAAAGGGAAUCGGGUUAAUAUUCCCGAGCCAGCGCGUGGAUGGUGGGCGGCGACGCGAACGAACCCGGAGACGCCGGCGGGAGCCCUGGGAAGAGUUCUCUUUUCUUCUUAACUGCCUCCUGCCCUGGAAUCGGUUUAGCCGGAGCGAGGGCUACACGGCAGGCAAAGCACCCUAAGUCUUGGGGUGUCCGGCGCGCUCCCGACGGCCCGUGAAAAUCCGGGGGAGCGGUUCGUUCUCACGCCUGGUCGUACUCAUAACCGCAUCAGGUCUCCAAGGUGAACAGCCUCUAGUCGAUAGAGCAAUGUAGGUAAGGGAAGUCGGCAAAAUGGUUCCGCAACCUCGGGAGAAGGAAUGGCUCUGAAGGCUGGGCGCAGGGGUCCUAGGCUCGAGGCCGGCUGGCUGCGCGGGGACUACGGCCUCACGGCUGCGGAUCCCGCGCGGCCGUCCGGCGGACGGCCUAGGAGCGCUCCGGCUCUCCCUGCGCGACGAACAGCCGCUUCAGAACUGGCGCGGACAAGGGGAAUCCGACUGUUUAAUUAAAACAAAGCAUUGCGAUGGCCCGCGAGGGUGCUGACGCAAUGUGAUUUCUGCCCAGUGCUCUGAAUGUCAAAGUGAAGAAAUUCAACCAAGCGCGGGUAAACGGCGGGAGUAACUAUGACUCUCUUAAGGUAGCCAAAUGCCUCGUCAUCCAAUUAGUGACGCGCAUGAAUGGAUUCGUGAGAUUCCCACUGUCCCUAUCUACUGUCUAGCGAAACCACAGCCAAGGGAACGGGCUUGGAAGAAUCAGCGGGGAAAGAAGACCCUGUUGAGCUUGACUCUAGUCUGUUACUGUGGAACGACUUGAUGGGUGUAGAAUAUGCGGGAGGGGCAACCCGACAGUGAAAUACCGCAACCGUCAACGUUGUUUUACUUACUCGGUGGCGCGGAGGGAGGCUCGCCUCACUUCUGGAUCCAAGCCGCUUCGUGCGCGCGAUCCGCGUCGGGGACACUAACAGGUGGGGAGUUUGGCUGGGGCGGCACGUCUGUUAAAAAAUAACGCAGGCGCCCGAUUUUGAGCUCAAUGAGAACAGAAAUCUCAUGUGGACCGAAAGGGGAAAAGCUCGGUUGAUUUUGAUUUUCAGUACGAAUACAAACCGCGAAAGCGUGGCCUAUCGAUCCUCUCGUCUUUGGGAAUUUCAAGCUAGAGGUGUCAGAAAAGUUACCACAGGGAUAACUGGCUUGUGGCUGCCAAGCGUUCAUAGCGACGUAGCUUUUUGAUCCUUCGAUGUCGGCUCUUCCUAUCACUGCCUCGCAGCGGGGGCCAAAUGCAGGAUUGUUCACCCACCAACAGGGAACGUGAGCUGGGUUUAGACCGUCGUGAGACAGGUUAGUUUUACCCUACUGCUGUCUGUUUUUCUACGGUAAUUUGGUUCAGUACGAGAGGAACCACCAAUUCGCAUCAUCGGUAUAGCCGCCGCCGGAAACGGCGAUGCGGCGAAGCUGCCAUGCGCCGGAUUAUAACUGAACGCCUCUAAGUUAGAAUCCAUGCCGGAAGGAAAGCCACCUACCGGCCCGGGGACGCCACGAGCAACGGUAGCACUGCCUGAGCCGCGAGCGACCACAAUUCACGGACCCGGGCCGACGAAUCCCUUGCAGACGACUUGAAUAAGGAACGGGGUAUUGUACGCGGCAGAGUGGCCUUGUUGCCACGAUCCGCUGAGAUUCAGCCUUGGUUCUGACGAUUUGUUGCGCGCGCGCAACAACCCUCUCAGGGCCUCUCCCGUUCCUCAGUCGCUCUCUCGGCGCUCUCCCCCUCUCGCCUCUCCGAGCCUCACUCGCUCGGGGGCGGAGCCGAGGGGGCGAGAGCGCGAUUUCUGCCCAAGGCAGCGCGCAGGCCACUGCGCAGAUACACCCGGCUCUCCCCGAGCCGCCACUGGGCGCUCCCGCGGUCCCCUCCGGGCUGAAUGCAGCCUCCGGAGCGGGCGGCGCGAGCGUCUAAGUCUACUCAGAGCCUUCCACGCUCUUCUUUGCGUUCCGAAGCACACACCGCGCUCCUCUGUAGUGCAUCGCCCGGCCAACUCGCUUGCCACUGUCAUUGCCCCCGCCGCCCUCUCACUGUGGCCGCCCUGUACCGUUACCUCCACCGCCCUCGCCCUCGCCACCGCCCCCACGCCGCCGCUACCAUUCCGGCCAUCGCCGCCCCCACCCUCAUCCCCACCUUGCCCCCGCCGCCCGUUGCAGCUGCAAUCCCCACCGAAGGCGGACGCCGGUGCCGCCCUCGAGCUCGACGCCCCUUCGUGCUUCGCCGCCCGGCGCGGUCCCAUCCGGGCUGAAUGCGGCCUCCAAUCUCGUGUCGGCCUGCCGCCGCCCUCGCCUUCAGCCGUCCCGCCACCCUCACCGCCACAGCCCUCCUCACCACCGUCUCCACCGCCGCUGCUCUCACCACCCUCGCCACCACCACCACGCCCGCCUCCCUCGCUGCCACCCACGCCGCCGCCACCGCCCCCACCCGCUCCGCUGCCCUCGCCCUUGCCGUCACCGCGCCGCGAGAUCUCUUACACUAUCCCCCGCCCUUGCCCCAGCCCUUGCCUGCCGCCGCCCUCGCCGCCGCCCUCGCCGCCGCCCUCGCCGCCCCCCUCGCCGCCGGGGCCCGCCCUCGCAGCCACGGCACCCUUGCCCCCUCCACCCUCCUCUCCGCCCCCGCCCCUGCCCCCGCUCGCCGUCGCCCUCCGCCGCCCCCCUCCCGCCCCGCCACCACCCUCCCCUCGGCCGCCCUCCGGCAUGCCGCCGUUCUCGCCCUCGCCUCCGAGCCGCCCCGCUGCCCUCGCCACUGCCCCCGUCGCCGCCACCCCCGUCGCUGCCGCCCUCGCCGCCGACCUACCCCCCUUGCCGUCUCCACCACCGUCAUCCCCACCAUCGGUUCUAACUUCUACUCAACUGCGACUACUUUAUACUCUAUGCGCCGAGAGAGGUACGAAUAUCUCUCGAAAAACGAUAUCUAUACCACACGAAAAAGGCUAGAGAAGUGGAGUGCUACACGAUGUUAAGGCGUACGGGGUGAGGCCCUGAGCGCGCGGCACCCCCGCCCCCCACGCCCCAGGACAAUGUAUAUGUUGCCAAAGAUAGACGAGCCCCAAAAGCACUCGAGAGACUUCACUUACCGUGUGUGCGCUCGCGACCACUACUGACGCAGAGCGACACCCAAUCACACAAUGCACAACCCAGGGCCCGAAAUGCGACAAAACCACGCAAAAAACGCGCACCAAAUGAACGUACUUGCGCACGUGGCGCGUGAUCGCAGCCGACCGACGCGGGGCCUGUGCGCCCGCAGCGCUAACGCCGCAAUCAUGACUCAACACGAGCUCCCCGUUAGUCCAACAUUUGCGGCGAGGCUGGCGGCGACGCGCGGCAGCGGGGGCAGCUGCACAUGCCGGGAGGCCCGUCGUGCAGCUCCACGGGGUCGUCCUCCACCUCGUCGUCGGUGUCGCUGUCCUCCUGGCCGCCCCCCAACGCCGGCAUGGGCGCAAACAGGCCUCCGUCGCCCGGGCCCUCCUCCUCGCUCUCGCUGUCGAGCGCGAUCGCCGUCGCGCCGCUCGAGCCAACCGCCUGUCGCCGCAGCGCCUUCGUCCGGCUCUCAGCGGCGGAGAGCGGCGCCUGCCCAAAGCGAGCCAGGGCCGCCGCCCGCGCCGCCUCCGCAGGCGUCGCAUGCGCCGCCUGCAUGCCCGUCACGGACGCGUCACGGACGAUACGCGGACACUGUCGCGGACGUUGGGGGCGGGUGCCUGCUCCGCGGCCAGCCGCUUCCCCUCCGUCGUGCGGCGGUCGAUCAUCUUUUGCUUCUUGCCCAGCGGCCGCCGCCGCUGCGGCGGCUGCUGCGCGUGCCGAGCCGAGGACGAGGAGCCGCCGCCGCCGCGCCGCUUGCGCCCGGCGCCGCGCCGACCGCUGGAGCCCUUGCGGGUCUUGCAGCCGCCCUCGACGAGGUCCGACUCGCCCUCGCCGCCGCCGUCGCCGCCGCCCACUGCAGCACUGCUAGAGGCGCCGCCGCCUCCGCCUCCGCCGCCGCCUCCUCCGCCGCCUCCUUCUUCGCCGCCGCGUCCGCCGCCUCCGCCCAAGGCAGCGGCUUCGGGGUCGACGAUCGUGCCGUCGGCAACGAAGCCGCGGUGCUGCUGUCGGACGACGCGCAGCUCGUCGUAAAACUCUGGCGGGUGGAUGUCCUGUCGGGGCCGAGUGGUGCCCUCAGGCCGUCGCUGCGGAAGUGCGUGCGUGUGCGUGCGUGUGUGUGCGUGUGUGCAUGUGUGCGUGCGUGCGUGCGUGCGUGUGUGUGUGUGUGUGUGCGUGUGUGUGUGUGUUGAUUGUGUGUGUGUGUGUGUGUGUGUGUGUGUGUGUGUGUGUGUGUGUGUGUGUGUCUGUCUGUCUGUCUGUCCGGUGUCCGCCUCGAGGCCGUGGCCCGAGAUGUGCGUGAUCUCGUGGAGCAUCACGGCGAGCAGCCGGCCAAACGGGAGGAAGACGUUGCAGCGCGCGUCUCCUGCCAGGCGGACCCACCAUGGGUGAAACGCGGUUGUGGAGAUUACCCCUGGCAAGGCUUUCUCAGGCACACUCCUGCGACGGCGCGCAGGCGGAUCGAGAUGUCCGCCGUGCCUUGCAGGUCGUGGUAGCACAUGCCGCCGGGGCCGCGGCCAUUGUGCUCGUGCAAGUGCUUGACGCGCCACCCGCGCCGCCGCAGGAUUGGGUCGACGUGCAGCUUCAGCCGCUGCAGCAGCCCCCGCGCCGCCGGGAUGGAGUCGCGGUCGACGCCACUGUGGCCGAGCGCGUUGAGCGGCACACACCACCUGCGCCAGCCGCAUGGGUCCUCAGAGCUGUUGCCGCCGGUCCCGGUGGACCCGCAACAUAAAAAGGAAACGCACCAGACAUUGCAAAACUCUGUCGUUCCAAACAGCCGGUGGAUGCCCUGCCGCUUGUCGUCGCCAACGCGUGGCUCGGCACCGUCGCGCGGUUCAAUCGCGUCGGUCAAGUUGGUGAAUCGAGCUCCCGCCAUGUCGGUUGCAGCGCAGGCGACGGCUGCCUUCAGGCUGUGCUUGCUGCGCAGCGAGCGCGCGAGAAGAGAUUUUUCUUUUUAUUCUUUUGUUUUUAUUCUUUAAGCCGCGUGCGCGAUUUCUUCUUGAUCACGCUCCGCCGUGCCCCGGGGGGGUGGCAUCACGUGCAGCUUGU
rnacentral:rRNA from 1 species